GAUGAAGAACGCAGCGAAAUGCGAUAAGUAAUGUGAAUUGCAGAAUUCAGUGAAUCAUCGAAUCUUUGAACGCACAUUGUGCCCCUUGGUAUUCCGAGGGGCAUGCCUGUUCGAGCGUCAUUAUAACCCCUCAAGCUCAGCUUGGUGUUGGGGCCUGCUGCACUGGCAGCCCUUAAAAUCAGUGGCGGCGCCAUCUGGCUCUAAGCGUAGUAAUUCUUCUCGCUAUGGAGUCCUGGUGGAUGCUUGCCAUCAACCCCCAAUUUUUCUAUGGUUGACCUCGGAUCAGGUAGGGAUACCCGCUGAACUUAAGCAUAUCAAUAAGCGGAGGA
rnacentral:misc_RNA from 1 species